AAGAAAUUACUAAUUAUAAUGAUCAUAUAUACUCUGCCGUAUAUAAUUCUCAAUGGUAUAUGGCACCAUUACAUGUACAGAAAAUGAUACUAUUUAUUUUGCAAAAAAGCAGCAAAACUUUCAACUGCACUAUCGCCGGAUUAUUGGUAAUAUCAAUGAAACUUUUUGCCACGUUAACAAAAACAUCGAUGUCUUAUGUCACCGUUAUAUAUAGUACGCAGCAAUGAUACGAAGAUAUAUUAUCUUAUAGA